ACCUGUCCUUUGUGCAGGGCGGUACCAUUCGAUCUUGCCAGCUCUCCUUCAGGGAGCGCCCGCUAUGUGCCAGGAGCCGUGCCAAGCCUGAUCUCCCGUAAUCCUCACAGACCCUCCGCGCAACGAGAGAUCUGUUGCCCCAGGGUGAGGAAGCGAAGGCACAGAAGAGCUGAAGCGAUUUGCCCACAGUCACAAGGUACAGAGUGACAGAGCUGGGGUUCAAAUCCAGGGAGUCAGACCCCAGGAUACCAACUACUGGGCUCCAUUAGCCCCACCCCUGGAUUCGUGGUGGCUGAAAUCCAGCACACACCUCUUCUUCCUUUCCACAGUUCAGCCCACGCAGGUUCUGUCCCA
rnacentral:lncRNA from 1 species